CAUGGAAAGGUAAAAAGAGAAUCAGUGGGAAGGAGUUCUUCCUGGGAGCUAAUCUCUCACAGUCUGUCCACUGGACCAUCAGUACAGUGGCUGCCCAUCUGAUGGCAUCGGAGUGAGAUCCACACUGUUCCGGAAGGUGAAACCAGGAUUUUACACGUGCUAGGUGAGUCCUCUACCCUGAGCUAAACCCCAGGCCUUCCGCCUGCUUUUAUUCCACACUCCCCUCUCCUACAGCAUCUUCUGACAUCACACUGUAUUCAACUAGAAGAGAGAACAUUAUAACUUUCAAUAAUAAAAUAGAAUUAUUAUUAUUAUUAUUAUUAUUAUUAUUAUUUACAGUAUUGGAGAGUGAACUCAGGGCCUUCACAUUGAGCUAAGCUACGCACACCCACAGGCCCUUUUUAAUUUAAAAAAAAUUUUCUUGGACAUGGAUUCUUAUUAAAUUGCCAAGUUAUCCCAGUUGUGCUCAAAUUUGCCAUCUUUCUGCCUCAGUCUCCCAGAGUGCUGAGUCACAGAUGGGCACCAUCACAUCCAGCUUUGCUCAUGCAUUUUUUAAAAAGAUGAAUGAUAGUAUCACGUAUUCCAAUUCCUUAGUUACACUUAAAACACUGACCUGAUUUUAUUACAAAAUCAGUAUUCAUCACAUGCCUGAAAUAUGUCAGUGGCAAUUGUUAAACAUGAUGAAAAAAAUCUAAACGCUUAUUUUAAAAGUGGGUGCGGGAGUUCGUAGGUUUUUAAAACUCCUUUGGGAGCUGUGUGAGCAAAAAUGUUUGAGGUCUACACAAUAAACAUGCUGAAGGGAGGAGCCUGGGGCACGGGGACACAGGCUGGGAGCCAGGGGUGGACUGGGGCUAGAGGGCAGAGGGCCAGGGCGAGAGAGCUGCGUCUGCUGCUCGUGGACCAGCACGCUGACCUGAACAGCACGAGACGUCCUGCGGAGGGGCGUCGGCCAGCAUGCGCUCGUCCCCAACUGUGUUCUCAAUAAGCAUCGAGGUAAGCGGCGUUACAACGUGAUGUUCUAGGGACAUCUGCAGGAUUGUUUUCGUAAUUUUCCUCUUGUCGGCAGCAGUAGGGGCCAAGCUUCUGUAGUGGAGAAGCAGAGGCGUUUUAUAGAACUGCGCUUGAGGGGGCGCUCAGGUCACAUCCCCACUCAUCUGCACUUCUGAUGUCCAGGCAGACAGUGGAAGUGGGUGCCCAGAGCCAACUGGUUCUUUAUCUAGCUGUGCAGUCCCAAGGGACUUUUUUUUUUUUUUAAAGAGUAAUUAUUUUUCUAGCAGUUUUAGGUUAACAGAAGUUGAGCAGAAGGUACUAAAGGUUUUCCAAUGUACUCUCCACACUCUCAGUAUCCUCCCUAACAGCUGAUAUCCUGCGCCAGGGUGGUACAUGUUUUACACAUGAUGGGCUAAGUCAGUGGUUUACUUUAGGGUUUACUCUAGGCAUCUUUCAUUCUACUGUUUGGACAAAUGCAUGGUAUGUAACUUCUGCAGCAAUUUGCCAUGCCUUUAAGUAUACUAGUAUGCUUCUGUCCAAAGGACCGGAAUAUUUUUUGCUUACUUCGAAUUACAGUCCAGUUAUACAGAGAUGUUUUAUUUUUCAACCUACUUUGAUAACCUUGUUCCAUCUUUCCAAAGUCUGAUCCAACAGAUGGCGUGAGCCUUGGAAAUGUUCAUUUUUAUCAAACACCCCAUGUAAUUGUGAUGUGGGUUACUCUAGUGAUCCAGUGUCUAUGCUGGGGAAUGGAGAAGCAGCUCAACUCAAAACCCCGAGGUGAUAAAAAGAGUAUUAGGGAUCCCUUCCAUAAAAGACAUCAUAAUUGCAUGAUCAUACAUUUCUCUUUGGACAAUAAUCUGUUUUCGAGAGUAAAUGCAAAUGAAUUACUGAUCCACACAGCAACAUGGGUUAAUCUCACAGACAUCAAAAUGAGUGAAGAAAGCCAGAAGCAGAUUGCAUGGUUAUGUGAAAUUUAGCAACAGACAAAACUAAUAAAUGAUGACAAAUGCCAGAAUAAUGAGUUCCAGUGCAGACUGGGGAAGAGGAACAGGGGUUCACACUGCAGCUACAUCUGGAUCCAGUAGAAGUAAAUAAUUGGAAUAUUAUAUUAAUUCUCUUCUUUUUCUCUCAUGCUCUUUUUUCUCUCUCUCUCUCUCUGUCUUUAUUCCUUUGUUCUUUUCCUCUUUUUCUUCAAUACUGGUGAUUGAACAUAGCGCCUUUGUGCUGAGCUACAUACCCAGCCCUCAGUUACUUUUUAUUAUGAGACAUGGUCUCAUCAGUUGCCCAGACUGGACUUGAAUUUGUUAUCCUUCUGCCUCAGCCUCCCAAAAUAGUGAGAUUGUAGGUGUAUGCCACUGUGCCUAGCUCAUUUGCUUCCUUUAUUGGUUUCAAACACUUUGUGUGCCAGGUAUGGCGGCUCACACCGAGUAGUCUCAGCAUUUAGGAAGCUGAAGCAGGAGAAUUGCUGCGAAUUCUAGGUCAGCCUAGCCUACAUGAAGGCUAACCUGAACCACAUAGCAAGACCUUGUCUCAAGAAACAAAAAAACAAUUGAACUCUUUCUGUGCAAGACCUCAAAUAUUCUAGGUGAACAUUUUACAUUUGUGUAUCUUUGUGGUACUCCUCUGUCCUUACCGCUCUGCCAGCAGUUGGUUGAUUGUUAGAUAGGCCCACAGUUUCCUGGUGAAGUUGGGAUCCGCGUGCUUGUCUUUUGAUAGAAAAUCCUCCAAGUCAUCCAUCUGGGCCAGGGUUUCCAAGACCAAAUCUGUGUUAGCCUAGACAUGAAAAGUUCAAUUGAAGGAUGCUGAUGGAGCAGAACUGUUCAAUCAAUUUGAAUUUUAGUAUCUAUUGUAAGUGAAUUAGGGUACCACAUACUUUUGGAGAAUAUAAAAAAAUGGAAGUUUUUAUUACUGCUUCAGUUUUAUUGCCUGAUAGUGGCCUGUUUUACUGAAUUUUUUAAAAAAGGAGAGUCUUCUUGGAAAUAGGGAAGGGGAGAAAAGGGAGGGUAAAGAAAGGGAGGAAAAGGUACUGAAAACAAUAAAAAUACUACAUGUAUUCACAUAUAUAUAUAUAUAUAUAUAUAUAUACAUACAGUCACACAUAUAUACAUAUAUAUGCCUACUUCCCAAAUAUAAUUAGUAUAUAUUACUAACAUACACCAAUUAAAUAAAAACAUAUUACACUGAAAAAUAAUGAAAGAAGGGGGACAAAAAUGUGCAUCCUCCAGAGGCUGGGCUUGGGCUGAGGACAAAAGAGGCUUUGCACAAUAGUUGGGAAGACAGCCCUUCUCUUUCACCCACUGCUCCUGUUCGACACACAGGAUUCUGGGAUUGUGGACCAUUAGUUUGUGAACUCUCAGGAUCCACCAUAUUUCAGGGGACCAUUUAGUGGUAUCUCGGUUCAUGAACGCUUUUGUUUGCAAAUAAUUUGGUCUGUAAAGAGCAGCAUUUGGCCACAUUUUGUUUUUGUUUGUGAACUCUGCAUUGGAUGAUGAACACAACUGUGGCCAUCUUUUGCAGAGUCAUGGAGCAAAUUAAGUUUGUGAAUCGAGGCACCACUGUACUUUUAGAAUAAAGCGAUAAACAGAAGUACCGAAGUUGCAGUAAUAAUGCUCUGUAUUUGCUGUAGUUUAUUCGGGUCAAAUUUUCCUGCCACCAUAAUCUCCGAGCCUCCAAAGUAGUUGGGGAAACUGUUUUGAGUGACAUCUGUUACUGAGGGGUGUGUAUAGCUGAACUGAACAUUCCGGAGCAGGGGAGUAGAUACUUGGUUGUAGAAUUUCUAUAAUUCAAAAAAAGAAAAAAAAAAAAAAAAGGGAAAAAAACCCACAGAGAGUUAUUUUAAUAUCAUUUUGUAUAUCUAAAGCAUUUUCCUAUCAUUUUUUUCACAUGCUUACCAGAUAUCUCUUAAAUUACUCUCAUGAAUUUCUGGGACAAAAAGAAUACGUACAGUUAGUUAAGCAAAAUUGAGACACAGAGGUGGUCAUGAUUUGUUAAAAUACUUUCCUUGAUUUAAGAGCCCAACAUUAUUUCCCACUUCUGUUAUUAUCAGCUUUGAAAAUAUCAUGGAUACUCAUCAUAAUAAAAAUCAGUUGAACUAAUGGCAUUGGCAUCAUUUUCUGGCUCAUUUAAUUAAUGAUUUUUUUUUUUUUUUGAUACCAGGGAUCGAACUUACAACCUCGCACUUGCCAGGCAGGCACAUACGCCACUGAGCUAAAUCCCCAUCCCUUGGCUCAUUUAAUUAAAAUAGACAAGUAUUUUGUAUCUGUAUUUUCUUCUCUAUUUAAGGAAAAUAUUUUAUUUAAGGGAAAACAGGUGCCCAUGAUAACAGGAAAAAUAUCUGCUCUAGGGGGCCUAGGGAGCCAGUGGGGGCUGGACGUAUCUCAGAGGGCCCUGCUGUGUGGGUCCAGGCUCUGCCCCUCCCUUUGCACUAGUAGUGUGGAAAUACAAGGGGCGGAGGGAAAUGUGUGGCAAUUGGAACUGAACACUUCUCCGGGUCUGACAGCUGGCUAUGGCUGAAAUGAUGGCAAUUUGAAUUAAAUUCAUCUUCUUUUGGGCAUCAGUCAUGGAUGCUUCUAGUAAGAUGGGAAAGGAGAAUUUGUUACCUUGAGCUGGGAGGAUGUAUCUUGGUUUCCAUAAAUCCUUUGAGCAAUUCCACGGUUAUCAUUAGAUAGUCUCUUCAGAAAAUCAUAGUCAACAUCAAAUCCUAUCCCCAAACUAAACAAGGAGACAUUGUCUGGUAUAUUCUGCUUCACAUUUUUCUGAAUUUUUGAUAAUUUUAAUUCACCUGAGGUUGAAGAAGACAGAAAGGAAAGAAAUGAAGAAUUAUUGAUGAGAAGGUUUAGAAAGUCCAGAGAGAAUCACUUAGCAAAAAUUAUUCAAAUUAGAAAUGUAUUUAAAGGGCUGGGGAUUUAGCUCAGAGGCAUAAGUGCCUGCCUGGCAAGCGUGAGGUCACAAGUUUGAUCCCUGGUAUCAGAAAAAAUAUGUACUUGUUCUUUGAUUCAGUAACACAACUUCUAGGAAUUUUUCUUACAAAACACUCAUGCAUGUGGAAGUGGAAUAUGAGGAAGGGUUUCUGGCAACAUUAUUUAAGCAUAGCAACAUAAUGGAAAUAAAGGUACACCAAUACAUGAGAUUAGUUAAAUUAAUUUAGACAAUGAAAUAUUAUGCAGUUACUAAGAAGGACCCAGUAGACUCAAUAACUCUACAUGUUUAUAUUGAAUAAAUGAAUUUUUUUUCUUUUUCGUUUUUCUUUUUCUUUUUGGUGCUGGGAAUCAAACUCAUGUCCUUGCAUUUGCCAAGCAGGAACUUAUGCCUGCUGAGCUAAACCCCUGGCUCAUUUUUCUUUUUAAAAAAAACGGGAUCUCAUUAUAUUGCUUGGGGAAAUCUCCAACAAAAAACGCUUUUUUCUUUUUUGAAAUGGUGUCUUGGUAUGUUGCCCAAGCUAGCCUUGAGCUUGAAUAGCUGGAAUUAUAGGUGAAAGACAUAUUUUUUCAAUGGGAAAAAAAUCAAGAUGAGUGGGUGUGUUCAGGAGGUAUCUGCAUAUAUAUAUACAUAUGAAUAAAUGCACAUGUAUAUACAUUUGUAUAUAUACAAUGUGUAUAUAGAGUAAUUCAGGUAAACACAAAUUACAGGAUGUUUGCAUUUUUAAAAAUAUUACUACAGUAAAAGAUACACUGCCAUUAAUCAAAUAUUUCCCCCACUUCAAACACACUUAUUUCACCAUUCUUGCCACUUUGUGAAGCUAUUCUAGGAGUCCUUUUCAUUAGUGUCUUUAUAAUGUUUGAUACAUGCUGCUGCGGAGCACUGUCUGAUGGGAAGACAGGCUCAAAAACCCCUACGCUGUGUCCAUAUUCACCUCAUUCACUGGGUCUGGCACCGUGUGACUUCUGACUCUUCCUCAAAGUCAAAAUGACCAUGAAAGGUAAUGUUUUGAAUUGAUUCAAGACACUGAGGCAGCAAUGACAGCACAACUCAAGACACUCAUGGAAGAAGACUUCCAGGACUACUCCAGAAAGUAGCAAGAAUGAUGGAAUGACUGUAUUUGGAGCAAGGGGGACUAUUUUGGGAGGGAUUAGCGGCAAUGUAUCUUUCGCUGUAAUAAAAGACACAUUUGUUUGGGAUCACACCUUGCAUGUCCACAUACUGAGGGAAACACAGAGUAAUAUAAGUGUACAUGAACUCUCCCUGGAAAUUGGCUCUGGGUGACUGGCAUAGACAGGGACUGAAUAGUUAAGGGACAGGAGGAAAGGGCAUUCCAUUUUUUCAAAUCAUAUUUCCUUUUCUUCCUCAUGACUUUAUUCAGAAGUGAAUUUUAAUUUAUUUGAUCUAAAAGGGAAAAGUGUUGGAUCUACUACAAAUACACAAAUAAAACCUGAUCAUAUUAGUCUUUCUAUUCAUAAAAGGGUUGCUCUGGGUCUUUCAGGAAACUCUUGUGAUCGUUAUUAUCACCUCACUAGUUCUCCUUCCACUUAGGCAGGUCAGGCACAGGUUAGACACAUCCACGUGACAAACCUGUGCAAUCCCAUCUAGUAUCCACUAUUACUUACAUUUGUCACUGUAGAGACACCAAUACAAUAAAUAUAAAUAAAUGUAGAUACUAAAAGUCAGGGGAUGCUAAAAGGUGGAAACUAUUUUUUGUGAAUAAGAAAAAUGAUUAACUUAAAGGAUAUAUCAGAAAGCAGUGAUUUCUCCAGUUUAAACAAGCAGAAAAGCAGACCCCGAGGAUAUGUUACUGUAGCCCCACGAGAUGCUAUGUGAGAGCUGGGGUGUGUAUUCAUCAUUUGCAGCUCACAUCUUUCCAUACCUAAAGUUGAGGGAAUAGAUACAUUUUGCGAAUACAUCAGCAAAUUCUAACACCAGACAAUUUUAAGUCAAACUCAGCUUUCUCCUCAUAUGGAGAGCAAAGUGAGGCACUCAAGAGCACAACUGAAGGGGACUAGCUUAGGGUGUAUUAUAGUUUAGAUCUGAAAUGUCCCCCAGAAGUCUCAUGUGGGCUUUUGGAAGGUGAUUGGAUCAUGAAGGUCUUGCUUCAUUAAUUCAUUGAUAGGAUCAUAAUUUUUUUCACAGUCUUCAGUAAUUUUCCAGUUUCAUUCGCUUUCCCAUUAAUGCACUUUUCUGGGCCCCUGUACAUAGAAUAAUAACCUAAUGGAACUGUUUAAAGGUGACAGAGAUGGGACCCAGUAGAAGAGAGUAGAUCAUAGGGACAUGGCCUUGAGACUGUAUCUGUUUCCUGGCUGCUUCCUCCUUUCUCUGUUUCAUAGCUGUUAUGCAGUGAGCAGUUCUUUUCCACCACACUCUUCCGAUGCCAUUUCUACCUUGGAGCCAGCCCAUGAUGGAUUGAAACCUCUGAAACUGCAAGUCAAAAUAAAACUUUCCUCUCUUAAAGCCACCGUGUCCAAUUGCCCGUUAGCCACACCACCCUGCCUUUGAGCCAGGCUUGAAUGUAUUGAGCCCCACAAAGAAGGGUGACAAACAGAAAGUAUGAAUCAGGGAUAGAAACCAAAAGAGACUUCGUGGCUGCACAUCCUGCACACCCAGGCUCACCUCCAAGUGCUUGGCCAGCCUUCCCGG